UGAGGAAUAUUGGUCAAUGGGGGGAACCCUGAACCAGCCAUCCCGCGUGCAGGAAGACAGUUCUAUGGAUUGUAAACUGCUUUUCUUGGGGAAGAAUAAUGACGACGUGUCGUCAGAUGACGGUACCCGAGGAAUAAGCAUCGGCUAACUCCGUGCCAGCAGCCGCGGUAAUACGGAGGAUGCAAGCGUUAUCCGGAUUUAUUAGGUUUAAAGGGUGUGUAGGCGGAUGUAUAAGUCAGUGGUGAAAGUCAGCAGCUUAACUGUAGAAUUGCCAUUGAUACUGUAUGUCUUGAGUGUGGUUGAGGUAUGCGGAAUGUGUAAUGUAGCGGUGAAAUGCUUAGAUAUUACACAGAACACCAAUUGCGUAGGCAGCUUACUGAGCCGACACUGACGCUGAGGCACGAAAGCGUGGGGAUCAAACA
rnacentral:rRNA from 1 species